UCCGAGUUGACCCCGGCUUUUCCCAUGAUGUCAAGCCCAGGUAAGGUUCUUCGGGUUGCAUCGAAUUAAGCCGCAUGCUCCGCCGCUUGUGCGGGGACCCGUCAAUUCCUUUGAGUUUUAGCCUUGCGGCCGUACUCCCCAGGCGGGGUACUUAAUGCGUUAGCUUCGGCACGGCAUCCGUUGAUCGGGACGCCACACCUAGUACCCAACGUUUACGGCGUGGACUAC
rnacentral:misc_RNA from 1 species